rnacentral:rRNA from 1 species
GAUGAACGCUGGCGGCGUGCUUAACACAUGCCAGUCGAACGGAAAGGCUCCUGCUUGCAGGGGUACUCGAGUGGCGAACGGGUGAGUAACACGUGGGUGAUCUGCCCUGCACUUCGGGAUAAGCCUGGGAAACUGGGUCUAAUACCGGAUAGGACGAUGGUUUGGAUGCCAUUGUGGAAAGUUUUUCGGUGUGGGAUGAGCUCGCGGCCUAUCAGCUUGUUGGUGGGGUAAUGGCCUACCAAGGCGUCGACGGGUAGCCGGCCUGAGAGGGUGUACGGCCACAUUGGGACUGAGAUACGGCCCAGACUCCUACGGGAGGCAGCAGUGGGGAAUAUUGCACAAUGGGCGCAAGCCUGAUGCAGCGACGCCGCGUGGGGGAUGACGGCCUUCGGGUUGUAAACUCCUUUCGCUAGGGACGAAGCGCAAGUGACGGUACCUGGAGAAGAAGCACCGGCUAACUACGU